rnacentral:rRNA from 1 species
GACGAACGCUGGCGGCGCGCUUAACACAUGCAAGUCGAGCGAGCGGCGGACGGGUGAGUAACACGUGAGAACCUGCCUUAGACAUUGGGAUAGCCUCGGGAAACCGGGAUUAAUACCAAAUGGUCUAAGAUGGACUCGCGUCCCAUUAGCUAGUUGGUGAGGUAACGGCCCACCAAGGCGACGAUCCGUAACUGGUCUGAGAGGAUGAUCAGUCACACUGGAACUGAGACACGGUCCAGACUCCUACGGGAGGCAGCAGUGGGGAAUAUUGCACAAUGGGCGCAAGCCUGAUGCAGCCAUGCCGCGUGUGUGAAGAAGGCCUUCGGGUUGUAAAGCACUUUCAGCGGGGAGGCGUUACCCGCAGAAGAAGCACCGGCUAACUCCGUGCCAGCAGCCGCGGUAAUAC